CACAUUUGGAGGUAAUCCAAGCAAGUCAUCCUGGGAUACAUUAGGCAAAGAGAUAAAUCAUGUCCAAUACUCUCAAAAUAAAAGAUCAGCUGAUCAAAUAUGCAAAAAGUGAUCAUUUGUUAUAUAACAAUUCAUACUGGUAUGAUAAGAAGAUAGUCAAUCCAUACCAAGUAUAAUAUCAAAGUUCCAAAUCUCUAGGAGAACUAAAUCAGCAAAAGUUCAAGUUCUCCAAUAAAAAUCAGACAAGAGGACCAAAUUCAAGUUCGUUAUCAAAGAAUCUCCAAUGAUCGUAUUUUAUAUAUAUCACAUAAUGCAGUGGUCUAGGUUGAAUGCCCAAGUGAUAAGCAACAUAUUACGAAUCAAAUCGUAGAUAGGACCCAUGGUCAAACAAAUAUUUGCAUUCUUUCAUAAACAUGCAUAAUACCUUUGAUCAUUAAUUCAGAAGUUUUAGAAUCAUAUUCAGUGAUAGCAUACACUCUGACAUGGGCUGAUGAUUUAUGAGGCAGUGACUCUUUCUUCUUGUUCAAA
rnacentral:lncRNA from 1 species